rnacentral:rRNA from 1 species
UACGUAGGGGGCUAGCGUUGUCCGGAAUCAUUGGGCGUAAAGCGCGUGUAGGCGGUCCGGUAAGUCCGCUGUGAAAGUCGGGGGCUCAACCCUCGAAUGCCGGUGGAUACUGUCGGGCUAGAGUGCGGAAGAGGCGAGUGGAAUUCCUGGUGUAGCGGUGGAAUGCGCAGAUAUCAGGAGGAACACCAAUAGCGAAGGCAGCAGGCUAAACAAAUAUUGACGCUGAGGCUCGAAAGCGUGGGGAUCAAACAGG